rnacentral:rRNA from 1 species
CAAUCCAUGAGUACAGUGGCGUACGGGUGAGUUAACACGUGGGUAAUCUACCUCUUAGUGGGGAAUAACCAGGGGAAACUCUGGCUAAUACCGCAUAAGCCUGAGAAGGGAAAGCAGCAAUGCGCUGAGAGAGGAGCCCGCGGCCGAUUAGCUAGUUGGUGGGGUAAGAGCCUACCAAGGCAGAGAUCGGUAGCCGGCCUGAGAGGGCACACGGCCACACUGGCACUGAAACACGGGCCAGACUCCUACGGGAGGCAGCAGUGGGGAAUCUUGCACAAUGGGGGAAACCCUGAUGCAGCGACGCCGCGUGAGCGAUGAAGCCCUUCGGGGUGUAAAGCUCUUUCGUCAGGGACGAUAAUGACGGUACCUGGAGAAGCAGCUGCGGCUAACUACGUGCCAGCAGCCGCGGUAAUACGUAGGCAGCAAGCGUUGUUCGGAGUUACUGGGCGUAAAGGGUGUGUAGGCGGUUCUUUAAGUUUGGUGUGAAACCUCCCGGCUCAACUGGGAGGGUGCGCCGAAUACUGAGGGACUAGAGUACGGGAGAGGAAAGUGGAAUUCCUGGUGUAGCGGUGAAAUGCGUAGAUAUCAGGAGGAACACCGGUGGUGUAGACGGCUUUCUGGACCGUAACUGACGCUGAGACACGAAAGCGUGGGUAGCAAACAGGAUUAGAUACCCUGGUAGUCCACGCCCUAAACGAUGCAUAUUUGGUGUGGGCAGUUCAUUCUGUCCGUGCCGGAGCUAACG